AAAUUGAAGAGUUUGAUCAUGGCUCAGAUUGAACGCUGGCGGCAGGCCUAACACAUGCAAGUCGAGCGGAAACGGCAGCAUUGAAGCUUCGGUGGAUUUGCUGGACGUCGAGCGGCGGACGGGUGAGUAACGGCUGGGAACCUGCCCUGACGCGGGGGAUAACCGUUGGAAACGACGGCUAAUACCGCAUAAUGUCUUAGUUCAUUACGAGCUGGGACCAAAGGUGGCCUCUACAUGUAAGCUAUCGCGUUGGGAUGGGCCCAGUUAGGAUUAGCUAGUUGGUAAGGUAAUGGCUUACCAAGGCGACGAUCCUUAGCUGGUUUGAGAGGAUGAUCAGCCACACUGGGACUGAGACACGGCCCAGACUCCUACGGGAGGCAGCAGUGGGGAAUAUUGCACAAUGGGGGAGACCCUGAUGCAGCCAUGCCGCGUGUGUGAAGAAGGCCUUCGGGUUGUAAAGCACUUUCAGCAGUGAGGAAGGUAAUGUACUUAAUAAGUGCAUGGCUUGACGUUAGCUGCAGAAGAAGCACCGGCUAACUCCGUGCCAGCAGCCGCGGUAAUACGGAGGGUGCGAGCGUUAAUCGGAAUUACUGGGCGUAAAGCGCAUGCAGGCGGUUUGUUAAGUCAGAUGUGAAAGCCCGGGGCUCAACCUCGGAACCGCAUUUGAAACUGGCAGGCUAGAGUCUUGUAGAGGGGGGUAGAAUUUCAGGUGUAGCGGUGAAAUGCGUAGAGAUCUGAAGGAAUACCAGUGGCGAAGGCGGCCCCCUGGACAAAGACUGACGCUCAGAUGCGAAAGCGUGGGUAGCAAACAGGAUUAGAUACCCUGGUAGUCCACGCCGUAAACGCUGUCUACUUGGAGGUUGAGGUUUUAGACUUUGGCUUUCGGCGCUAACGCAUUAAGUAGACCGCCUGGGGAGUACGGCCGCAAGGUUAAAACUCAAAUGAAUUGACGGGGGCCCGCACAAGCGGUGGAGCAUGUGGUUUAAUUCGAUGCAACGCGAAGAACCUUACCUACUCUUGACAUCCAGAGAACUUUCCAGAGAUGGAUUGGUGCCUUCGGGAGCUCUGAGACAGGUGCUGCAUGGCUGUCGUCAGCUCGUGUUGUGAAAUGUUGGGUUAAGUCCCGCAACGAGCGCAACCCUUAUCCUUGUUUGCCAGCACGUAAUGGUGGGAACUCCAGGGAGACUGCCGGUGAUAAACCGGAGGAAGGUGGGGACGACGUCAAGUCAUCAUGGCCCUUACGAGUAGGGCUACACACGUGCUACAAUGGCAGAUACAGAGGGCAGCGAAACUGCGAAGUGGAGCGAAUCCCUUAAAGUCUGUCGUAGUCCGGAUUGGAGUCUGCAACUCGACUCCGUGAAGUCGGAAUCGCUAGUAAUCGUGGAUCAGAAUGCCACGGUGAAUACGUUCCCGGGCCUUGUACACACCGCCCGUCACACCAUGGGAGUGGGCUGCACCAGAAGUAGAUAGCUUAACCUUCGGGAGGGCGUUUACCACGGUGUGGUUCAUGACUGGGGUGAAGUCGUAACAAGGUAGCCCUAGGGGAACCUGGGGCUGGAUCACCUCCUUA
rnacentral:rRNA from 1 species